GACUUCCUUUUGGACAGGAGAGAGUGUGGAGUACACAAUGUAGGUAGAAAGAGGUUCCUGGUUUAGGUGGCAGAUCCACUGGGAUGCACCACCUGGAGGAUUUAUAAUUUGAAUAGCUUACAAAAUCAGGAUGCUAGUUUCUGCACCCAGCGAUUGUAUUGCCUGUUGAUUCUAAACUAAGAUUGUGUGGUGUUUUCCUUCAUGAGGCGACUCAGCUGGGUUCCAGAGAAAGCAGAUGAAGACCAUUAAGGGAAACUACAACCCGUGGCUGAAGAGUGGGCAGAAGACUUGAAGAGCCAGAAGAACAGAGGAUUUGCCUGUGAGAUUGUGUCUCCUAGAAAUGUCAGAAGCUGCGGCCAUAAGGUCUUCCUAACGCGGCUGCCAACACAUGGCCUGAACAAGGACGACGCCAGUAGACAUGCUCAUGUGGGCAGAGGAAGUGGAGCUUAUGGAGCUUCAAAGCUGCAAUUACAGGCAGCCAAGGAGUGCUGAGAGUAGGGGAACGUCUUCUCCAAGGAAGAAGCUACAUAAGAUAGAGAGCUCGUCUCAAAGAAAUACAUUAUUGUUUGUAGACAGGGUUUCACUAUGUAGACCAGGCUGCCUGCCUCUGAUUCCUGAGAUUAAAGGCAUGUUUCACUACA
rnacentral:lncRNA from 1 species